AGAAAGGCCGCUGCUCCUUCCGGUUGCACAGCGAUCGCCGACAUCGGCCAAAAGAGGGAGCGCGCGCACCUCCAAAAAAAAAAGAGACAAAGUGUGCGCGGGCAGUGCUCGCUUGGGGCUAGUGGGCCAUUUUUUUUUCAUGCUGUGCCCUCAUGACGAAGCACGUGCGGGUCCGAACCCGCCAGCAUCGAGCGAGUCCCAGUUGGUCGACCAUUGGUCAAACAAGAACGACCCGGCAAGCCGAACCCGACCGACUGGAAUCCACAAACAUGACUCAACAAAAGUCCCAAUUAACCGACCAUCAGCCGAUCGAAAAUGAACUAGCCGGCCAGUCGAAUAUGACCAGUUGACAUCCGCAAGCACCGUGCGCGGACCGAGACAAUGGCAAGGAAUCGCAUUUUUUAUUCUUUUUGUUUUCAGAAAAAAAUGCAUAGGACAUAAUAAAGGGAAAAAAAAGACGAAAAGAG
rnacentral:lncRNA from 1 species